UGGGAAUCUUGGACAAUGGGGGCAACCCUGAUCCAGCCAUGCCGCGUGAGUGAUGAAGGCCUUAGGGUCGUAAAGCUCUUUCGCCUGUGAAGAUAAUGACGGUAGCAGGUAAAGAAACCCCGGCUAACUCCGUGCCAGCAGCCGCGGUAAUACGGAGGGGGUUAGCGUUGUUCGGAAUUACUGGGCGUAAAGCGCACGUAGGCGGACCAGAAAGUUGGGGGUGAAAUCCCGGGGGCUCAACCCCGGAACUGCCUCCAAAACUAUUGGUCUAGAGUUCGAGAGAGGUGAGUGGAAUUCCAAGUGUAGAGGUGAAAUUCGUAGAUAUUUGGAGGAACACCAGUGGCGAAGGCGGCUCACUGGCUCGAUACUGACGCUGAGGUGCGAAAGUGUGGGGAGCAAAACAGGAUUAGAUACCCUGGUAGUCCACACCGUAAAACGAUGAAUGCCAGUCGUCGGGUAGCAUGCUAUUCGGUGACACACCUAACGGAUU
rnacentral:rRNA from 1 species